CUUAUCACAAAAAGGGUGAAGGGGUCACGUUUUUUUCCUAAUCUUGGGAGAGGAUAUUUUGUGUGGCACCCCCGCCCAUUUCCAUCAUCAUCAGUAUAUCACACAAUAGGGGUGGAAUGAUUUUUUGUAUAGAAAAACGGAUAGAGAGAUAGACCGAAAAAAAAAAUCAUCAUCAUCUUCAUCUCAAACACACACAGAGACACGAGAAAAGAGAGGCACAAAUAGAGGGAGACGGACAGAACAGAUAACAAAAUAUCCUCAACAUCAUCUUCUUCAAAUUUUUUAUUCACCUUAAGCACACACUCCAUUUUUGGGGGGGCUCUGUUUUUCGUUUCCUCCAAGCUAGACACAUACUCAUCUCCAUCAUUUUCCAUUUUUACUUUUUAAAACCCAAAUCACAAAACCACCAUGAACCACCGUAAACCGAACAACCCAGUUCCACCGUCAAAAUACCACCACUGUGUUCCAUCUCUAAACCAACCAACACCCACCGUUAAAUCAACCACCAUCCCCUUCAUGCCCUGCUACUAAUAGCUUUAGCCGAUUUUCUGUUUGGAGAUCUAGGUUUUUUAUCCGUUCACAUUGUGUUAAAGUUUGGGGUUUCGUUUGAGUUCCCGUAGUUAAGGUCAUUGGUUGAGGUUCUUCUGUCGAGAUUUCCGGUCGGCUCCGUUGCUCAGUUCAAUCAUCUGAGUUGCAGCAAUUUCAGAGUUAAAUUGAUAUACACAGAGUUUGUUACAGGCUGGUUCUAAUGACAUGGCAUGCAUGCGGAUUUUUUGGUCAGAUCUGAAAACCUGGUCUAGCCAGGGACAAAUGCACCGAAACUUGAAAAUUGUGCAGAAGAACAUUUGAGGAAACAAGUGGAGACAAGUAUGAUGGAAAAGUGGGAGACAAUAUCCAACAAUGCAUUUGUUAUGAAGAGAGACUAUAUGAUUCUUAUUUCUCAUUCUCAAAUUGCGUGUUUUGUGCUUGACAUUUUUAAGGAUUGGUAUGACGAAGGCAUUUCAUUCUGCUAUCUCAAUGUUGUGUCACCAUUUGCUACCCCUGUUGAGCCUUAGUUUUAUUUUCUUUCAUAUCCCUCUUUUGGAAUCAAAAUAGAGUUGGAAAAGAGCCAAAAAAAAAAAGAGACAGAUAGAAGGAUAAUGAAAAGAAAAAGAAAGAAGGAAACAAAAUCACACCAAAAAAAAAAAAAAAAAAAAAAAAAAAAGAAGAAGAAGAGAAAACACAAGAAAUGAGUUGUCGGAACUACGUCUGACCUGAUUCUUGUCUGGACAAGAUACGUAGGCAACCCUAUUCUGAGGUUCGGUCCAACCAAAGAAAAUUCAAAAUUUCUCAUUUCAAAGAAACUGGGACAGAAUUUAUUCUUCCUUUUUAGUCGAUUCCCAAGUUGUAAAUCUCACCCUCAUUAUUUUUUGUUGUUGUCUUCGAGCCUCCAUGCCACCCUUUUUGUUCAACCCUAUCCAAAAGCCGCGUUACAACCAAAGAAAAGACCUUCAGAUCAAUCGUUGAGAAUGUCAAGGCUGAGCACGCUAUGAGCAUAAGACAUUUGCAUCAUGAUCAUCACUUGCCUGCAUUAGCAUAAGGGAAGUGGGAGAAAAAAUGAAAAUGAGAGAGUCUUACUAGUGAAAAUCUUCAUAGGCACCAUAAGGCGACGGUGAGUUGAGAGAAUUAAAAAUGAGAGAGUCUUAUUGGUGAAAAAUCUCAUGGGCACCGUAAGGCGAUGGUGAGUUGAGAGAAUUGAAAAUGAGAGAGGUUUAGUGGUGAAAAAUCUUCGGAGCACCACUAGCCGAAUGAGAGUCAUGAACCUGAUGAAGAAGUCGGGAUGCGAAAGCCUAAUUUCAAAACAAGUUAUGAGAGCACAACAGGAGUUAAAGAAUAGAUUGAUUGAACAGAUCAGGCCGCUCAAUCCAAAAUGCAUGUCAUGACCAUUAGAGCCAGCGACCACAUUCAGAUAAGUGUCUUCUUUCCUUUUCUCCCAAUAAGGGAUAUUUCUUGUUGAAUAUCGCUUCUUUCCAUUUCUACAUCUUUUACUUCUUUUGUUUUGUUUCGUUGAGUCAAUCCAUGUAGAACGAGUGGAGAAAGGAUUUCAAGACUUGCUACCAGCUUUUCCAAUUGCGAAGCAAAACAUCUGUCUAGCACGUAGAGGUAACAUGAUUCAAAGUGGGGUAGAGUACCCAAUGAGUUAUCGUUCGUUGAUAGGUUCUGGAGUCAUGAAAAUAUAAGGGAUCAGUAGAGUUUGAAUUAAUAGGAACCAUGAAACAGAGGUGUUGGUAUUGGUUUAAAGUAAGAAAGUCACACCGGUAGCCAGAGUUUGGGUCAGUGGUCCAACGAGCCGACAACGAGCAUUGACUAUUUGAAAUCACAUCUAAAUAGGACAAGUGCAUGAGCAAUCACCUUCAGAACCAAGGCGCCAAACCAACCACAACAUUUUAAAACUCACAAUUUUUAUUUGUUUGAAACAGGAAUGGAUGUUAUCCUCAGAUCAAAGGUUCAAAGCUUCAAAAGGCACAACGUCUCAUUUUUGCCGAUGUAAAAGGCAAUGUCACAACAUAGGUUUGCAAGAAACAAAAAUUGAUCAACUUUUCAAUUAUGAAUACUAUCACCCUUAGGAGACGCACUUCCUAGUCCGGGUUGUAGGAGACGCACUUCCUAACCCAAAGCUCUACUCCUAGGAGAUGCACUUCCUAGUCGAGUCUUUCAGUUUAACCCCUAAGAGAUGCACUUAUUAGUCUGGGUCUUUUAGUUUUUACGUUUAGGAGACGCACUUCCUAAUUUGAACCAUAACUCAUAGGAGACGCACUUCCUAUUUUGGAUAUUUCUGGUUUUUGACUUUAGGAGACGCACUUCCUAAUGCGAACCUUUACUCCUAGGAGACGCACUUCCUAGUCGAGUCUUUCGGUUUAACCCUAAGAGAUGCACUUCUUAGUCUAGGUCAUUCAGUUUUUACGUUUAGGAGAUGCACUUCCUAAUUUGAACCAUAACUCAUAAGAGACGCACUUCCUAGUUUUGGAUAUUUUUGGUUUUUGACUUUAAGAGACGCACUCCCUAAUGCGAACCUUUACUCCUAGGAGGCGCACUUCCUAGUCGAGUCUUUCAGUUUAACCCCCAAGAGAUGCACUUCUUAGUCUGGGUCUUUCAGUUUUUACGUUUAGGAGACGUACUUCCUAAUUUGAACCUUAACUUAUAGGAGACGCACUUCCUAGUUUUGGAUAUUUCUAGUUUUUGACUUUAGGAGCACUUCCUAAUGCAAACCUUUACUCCUAAGAGACGCACUUUCUAGUUGAGUCUUUCAGUUUAACCGCUGAGAGAUGCACUUCUUAGUCUGAGUCUUUCUGGUUUUUGACCUUAGGAGACGCACUUCUUAAUGCAAACAUCUACUCCUAGGAGACACAUUUCCUAGUCGAGUCUUUCAAUUUAACCCCUAAGAGAUGCACUUCUUAGUCUGGGUCUUUCAGGUUUUUCUUUUAGGAGACGCACUUCUUAAUUUGAACCAUAACUCAUAAGAGAAGCACUUCCUAGUCGAGUCUUUCAGUUUAACCCCUAGGAGACGCGCUUCCUAGUCGAGUCUUUCAGUUUAACUCCUAAGAGAUGCACUUCUUAGUCUGGGUCUUUCAGUUUUUACGUUUAGGAGACGCACUUCCUAAUUUGAACCAUACCUCAUAACAGACGCACUUCCUAGUUUUGGAUAUUUCUGGUUUUUGACUUUAGGAGACGCACUUCCUAAUGCGAACCUCUACUCCUAGGAGAAGCACUUCCUAGUCGAGUCUUUCGGUUUAACCCCUAAGAGAUGCACUUCUUAGUCUGGGUUUUUCUAGUUUUUGACUUUAGGAGACGCACUUCCUAAUGCAAACCUCUACUCUUAGGAGAUGCACUUCCUAGUCAAGUCUUUCAGUUUAACCCCUAAGAGAUGCACUUCUUAGUCUGGGUCUUUCAGUUUUUGCUUUUAGGAGACGCACUUCCUCAUUUGAACCAUUACACCUAGGAGACGCACUUCCUAGUCAAAGUAUUUCAGUUUAACCCCUAAAAGGCGCACUUCUUAGUCUGGGUCUUUCAGAUUUUGCUUUUAGGAGACGCACUUCCUAAUUUAAACCGUAACACCUAGGAGACGCACUUCCUAGUCAGAAUAUUUCGGUUUAACCCUUAAAAGACGCACUUCUUAGUUUGGGCUUUUCACGUUUAGCUUUUAGGAGACGCACUUCCUAAUUGGAUUCAUUAGUCCUAGGAGGCGCACUUCCUAGUUUGAGUUUUCAGAUUCACCCCUGGGAGAUGCACUUCCUAGUUAGUACAUUUGAUUUUAUUUUCAUCGUUGAAUUACAUUACAUAUAGUUUAUGAUUUUGCUAACACUCACAAAAA